rnacentral:rRNA from 1 species
AGAGUUUGAUUCUGGCUCAGGAUGAACGCUGGCGGCGUGCUUAACACAUGCAAGUCGAACGAGGUCCAACCUUCGGGUGAAGACCGAGUGGCGAACGGGUGAGUAACACGUGGGGAACCUGCCCUUCUCUCUGGGAUAACCUCGGGAAACCGAAGCUAAUACCGGAUACUCCUUGCGGACCGCAUGGUCUGCUCGGGAAAGCUCCGGCGGAGAAGGAUGGCCCCGCGGCCCAUUAGCUUGUUGGUGGGGUAACGGCCCACCAAGGCGACGAUGGGUAGCCGAGCUGAGAGGCUGAUCGGCCACACUGGGACUGAGACACGGCCCAGACUCCUACGGGAGGCAGCAGUGGGGAAUCUUGCGCAAUGGGCGAAAGCCUGACGCAGCAACGCCGCGUGCGGGAUGAAGGCUCUCGGGUCGUAAACCGCUUUCAGCAGGGAUGAAAAUGACAGUACCUGCAGAAGAAGCCCCGGCUAAAUACGUGCCAGCAGCCGCGGUAAUACGUAUGGGGCAAGCGUUAUCCGGAUUCAUUGGGCGUAAAGCGCGCGUAGGCGGCUUGUUAAGUCAGGCGUGAAAUCCGGGGGCUCAACCCGCGGCUUGCGUCCGAAACUGGCAGGCUUGAGUCUGGUAGAGGAAAGUGGAAUUCCUGGUGUAGCGGUGAAAUGCGCAGAUAUCACGAGGAACACCAGUGGCGAAAGCGGCUUUCUGGGCCACGACUGACGCUGAGGCGCGAAAGCUAGGGGAGCGAACAGGAUUAGAUACCCUGGUAGUC